GUUGGGUGUGGUGGCGCAUGCAUGUAAUCCCAGCGAUUUGGGAGACUGAGGCUAGAGGAUCAUGAGUUCAAAGCCAGCCUCAGCAACUUAGAGAGGCACUGAGCAACUCAGUGAGACCCUGUCUCUA
rnacentral:sRNA from 1 species